CCCCAUUGUCCAUAUGAUUCACAUUUUUCUUCACUCUCAAUACUUCAAUUCUUUAAUUAAACAUUACAAAGCUUUUUAAGUGCUCUUCUGCCGACAAUUUUCCACUCUUUGGCCCUAUAAAAUCUCUCAACCCUUAUCUUUCAGUCUGUACCAAGAAAUCACCUGAGAACUAUCUCUUUCUUCAUUCCAUUCUCCUCAAGUUCGUCUUAAAGCCCUCUUGAUCUUAUCUUUAUUCGGCACGAACGGAUACAAAAAAUCAUCUGAACCUAGCAGUCGACCGAGACUCUUUCAAGCUAACCUAUCCCAACAGCCACUCCUGUCAGUUUUCGACUAACUCAAUGGCGAAAAAAGUUGAAUAUCCGAGUUGGAUUGAGGUUGCACCACCACUUAUUAUUUCCCCAAAAAAGACCUCCAAUUCUCCUACCCUUGAGACAAUUAUAGAAGAGGAUUCUGCAGAGAAUUGUGAAGAUGAUGUGAGUUCAGGAGUGUUGGAACUACUUGAAUUUCUUAGCAGCUUAUAAGUAGCUUUUUCAAUUAAGGGUUCAAUUAAUCAUGUAUUCAACAGGCAGGCUUCAGUAAACAAUCGAAGUGUACGUUUUGUUAAAUCAGUCCUUAUUAACAUGUAUAUGAGUUCGGAUGGAUGUAUUUCAGUGCUUUGACGAUUUUGUAUCAUAAAUUAAGAGGAAAUUUAGUUUUGUUAUUUUAGGCGAUAUAUAGUCAAAGCAGAAACUGGCCGAUAAACUUCUAUAAAAUAAUUUCACGGAUUCUGGAAGAAUCUUUUAUUAAUUUAAUCAGAGAAUGAGGACUUAGCGUUGAGGUUUACUUUUGAUUAACAUAGGGCUUUUGGUGUUGUGGGUUUUUUUUUUUUUUUUUUAAAUUAAAAUAUGUAAAACUUUGGAGUUUUUCCAAUUCUUUCUACCCAAUUUCGAUAUUAAUUUC
rnacentral:lncRNA from 1 species